GGAAUGGAGGGGCAGGCCUGUGAGGGGGAACAGGAUCUGGAGCAUGGGGCAAUGGCAGAACUGGGGCAUGGAGCAAAGGUGGGCCUGGACCAUGGAGAAGAUCCAGAGGAGCAUGGAGCCAUGGCAGAGCCGGCAGAGCAGGGGGCCAUGGUGGAGCAGGCAGAGCAGGGAUCCAUGGCAGAGCAGGCAGAGCAGGGAGCCAUGGCGGAGCAGGCAGAGCAGGACGGCCAAGUGGUACUGGCAGAGCAGGAAGCCAAGGCGGAGACGAGACAUGGAUGGACCACUUGACUGUGACAGAGCAGGCAGAGAGUUCUUGAAUGGCCAUCUUGGCCAUGACAGGACAGACAGUGAGUUCAUGCACAGCCUCCUUGGCCAUGACAGGACAAGCAAUGAGUUCAUGAACGGCCUCCUUGGCCAAAACGGGACAGACAUUGAGUUCAUGAGCAGCCUCCAUGGCUGUGGCAGGACAGACAGUGAGUUCAUGAAUGGCCUCCUUGGCCAUGGCAGGACAGACAAUGAGUUAAUGAAAGGCCUCUUUGGCCAUGGUAGGGCAGACAGUGAGUUCAAGAUCGGCCACCUCGGGAGGUUCUGCAGUGGCUGCAGACACCUCUGGAGGUUCUGCAGUGGAUGCCGCCACCUCUAAAGGCACUGGAGCAGAUUCGUGGACAGAAGAGGUCCCUGGAGCAGACUCGUGGACAGGAGAGGCCUCUGGGGCAGACUCAAGGACAGGGGAGGCCUCAGAAGUGCACUGCAAACACUAAGGAUGGCUACCGCCAUCAAGGGUAGUGCAGUAGACAGUGGCAUGCUCUCUGGGCUUGAGUGUGUUGAGCCUGUGAGGCUUGAAAGUGUAGAGACCACUGGGAUGCCAGCCACUCGUACUGACAUCAGUGGUGGAUCCAACACACUGGCAAUCAGUCUUUUCGGUCCUGCCCCAAGCUCCACAUCCUUGGGAGCUUGGGUAAUACAGAUCCACUCAACCGUAAAACAAAGUCAAUAUACUGCUCAAGAGUCCAGUGAGGAGUAUUGCGUGGCAUUAAACUUGAUAUGUCCUUAAUUAAACCAAAACGAAAAAAUUAUUUUAAGAAAGUUUCAUUGAAGUCC
ensembl:lncRNA